rnacentral:misc_RNA from 1 species
AAGUCGUAACAAGGGUUUCCGUAGGUCAAGUUUAGCCUGCCACAGCGGGUCAACCUCGCUAGUCUCCGCUGGAGGCGACACGCUCAACCUGUGGGGAAGGCCCCGUCCCGGGAAAAUCCACAGCCCCACUUCCCCUCGCCCCGGAAGUGGGUUUAGAGGCUCAAUGAGCGUGGGUGCUGAUCUCAGCGCUUGAGAUAGAGUCCGUCCCAGCUGGUAACCGCUGGGGGGCGAACGGAACCUGCGGAAGGAUCAUUACAGAAUUUGACGGCUUUUGCGAAGCCGAUUUCUACCCCCGUGUAUACACUAUCGUCUGUUGCUUUGGCGGGGCGCCUGGCGCCUUGCCCAGAGGGAAAACCCCUUGAAUCUCUGCAGUCUGAGCACGUAAAGUAGUCAAAA